CACAUUCUCGGACACUCAUUCUC
rnacentral:siRNA from 1 species